GGUCCAUUGGCGUAAUGGUAACGCGUCGGUCUCCUAAACCGAAGAUUGCGGGUUCGAUCCCCGUGUGGAUCG
rnacentral:tRNA from 3 species